AUACAUGCAAGUCGAACGAACUCUGGUAUUGAUUGGUGCUUGCAUCAUGAUUUACAUUUGAGUGAGUGGCGAACUGGUGAGUAACACGUGGGAAACCUGCCCAGAAGCGGGGGAUAACACCUGGAAACAGAUGCUAAUACCGCAUAACAACUUGGACCGCAUGGUCCGAGUUUGAAAGAUGGCUUCGGCUAUCACUUUUGGAUGGUCCCGCGGCGUAUUAGCUAGAUGGUGGGGUAACGGCUCACCAUGGCAAUGAUACGUAGCCGACCUGAGAGGGUAAUCGGCCACAUUGGGACUGAGACACGGCCCAAACUCCUACGGGAGGCAGCAGUAGGGAAUCUUCCACAAUGGACGAAAGUCUGAUGGAGCAACGCCGCGUGAGUGAAGAAGGGUUUCGGCUCGUAAAACUCUGUUGUUAAAGAAGAACAUAUCUGAGAGUAACUGUUCAGGUAUUGACGGUAUUUAACCAGAAAGCCACGGCUAACUACGUGCCAGCAGCCGCGGUAAUACGUAGGUGGCAAGCGUUGUCCGGAUUUAUUGGGCGUAAAGCGAGCGCAGGCGGUUUUUUAAGUCUGAUGUGAAAGCCUUCGGCUCAACCGAAGAAGUGCAUCGGAAACUGGGAAACUUGAGUGCAGAAGAGGACAGUGGAACUCCAUGUGUAGCGGUGAAAUGCGUAGAUAUAUGGAAGAACACCAGUGGCGAAGGCGGCUGUCUGGUCUGUAACUGACGCUGAGGCUCGAAAGUAUGGGUAGCAAACAGGAUUAGAUACCCUGGUAGUCCAUACCGUAAACGAUGAAUGCUAAGUGUUGGAGGGUUUCCGCCCUUCAGUGCUGCAGCUAACGCAUUAAGCAUUCCGCCUGGGGAGUACGGCCGCAAGGCUGAAACUCAAAGGAAUUGACGGGGGCCCGCACAAGCGGUGGAGCAUGUGGUUUAAUUCGAAGCUACGCGAAGAACCUUACCAGGUCUUGACAUACUAUGCAAAUCUAAGAGAUUAGACGUUCCCUUCGGGGACAUGGAUACAGGUGGUGCAUGGUUGUCGUCAGCUCGUGUCGUGAGAUGUUGGGUUAAGUCCCGCAACGAGCGCAACCCUUAUUAUCAGUUGCCAGCAUUAAGUUGGGCACUCUGGUGAGACUGCCGGUGACAAACCGGAGGAAGGUGGGGAUGACGUCAAAUCAUCAUGCCCCUUAUGACCUGGGCUACACACGUGCUACAAUGGAUGGUACAACGAGUUGCGAACUCGCGAGAGUAAGCUAAUCUCUUAAAGCCAUUCUCAGUUCGGAUUGUAGGCUGCAACUCGCCUACAUGAAGUCGGAAUCGCUAGUAAUCGCGGAUCAGCAUGCCGCGGUGAAUACGUUCCCGGGCCUUGUACACACCGCCCGUCACACCAUGAGAGUUUGUAACACCCAAAGUCGGUGGGGUAACCUUUUAGGAACCAGCCGCCUAAGGUGGGACAGAUGAUUAGGGUGAAGUCGUAACAA
rnacentral:rRNA from 2 species